UACAGAGACUGCAAGCGCUAUUCGGAUUCACUGGGCGUAAAGGGUGCGCAGGCGGCCGGGUGUGUCAGAUGUGAAAUCCCGAGGCUCAACCUCGGAACUGCGUCUGAAACUACUCGGCUAGAGUACUGGAGAGGGUAACGGAAUUCACGGUGUAGCAGUGAAAUGCGUAGAUAUCGUGAGGAACACCAGAGGCGAAGGCGGUUACCUGGACAGUUACUGACGCUCAGGCACGAAAGCAUGGGGAGCAAAAGGG
rnacentral:rRNA from 1 species